UGGGGAAUAUUGCACAAUGGGCGCAAGCCUGAUGCAGCCAUGCCGCGUGUGUGAAGAAGGCCUUCGGGUUGUAAAGCACUUUCAGCGAGGAGGAAGGUGGUGAACUUAAUACGUUCAUCAAUUGACGUUACUCGCAGAAGAAGCACCGGCUAACUCCGUGCCAGCAGCCGCGGUAAUACGGAGGGUGCAAGCGUUAAUCGGAAUUACUGGGCGUAAAGCGCACGCAGGCGGUUUGUUAAGUCAGAUGUGAAAUCCCCGGGCUCAACCUGGGAACUGCAUUUGAAACUGGCAAGCUAGAGUCUCGUAGAGGGGGGUAGAAUUCCAGGUGUAGCGGUGAAAUGCGUAGAGAUCUGGAGGAAUACCGGUGGCGAAGGCGGCCCCCUGGACGAAGACUGACGCUCAGGUGCGAAAAGCGUGGGGAGCAAACAGGAUUAGAUACCCCUGGUAGUCCACGCUGUAAAACGAUGUCGAUUUUGGAGGUUGUGCCCUUGAGGCGUGGCUUCCGGAGCUAACGCGUUAAAUCGACCGCCUGGGGAGUACGGCCGCAAGGUUAAAACUCAAAUGAAUUGAC
rnacentral:rRNA from 1 species